AGCUUUGCACAGUGGCAGUAUCGUAGCCAAUGAGGUUUAUCCGAGGCGCGAUUAUUGCUAAUUGAAAACUAAACUUUACCUUUGUGUAUCCAUUAAGAAAUGAUUUGCAAGCAAAACAACUAUUAAUAAUGCAAGUCAUUUUUUAUCUUUUUCAGACUAUAAAUAUAA
rnacentral:snRNA from 1 species